AGAGUUUGAUCCUGGCUCAGAAUCAACGCUGGCGGCGCGCUUAACACAUGCAAGUCGAACGGGAAAGUGGAGCAAUCCAUGAGUACAGUGGCGUACGGGUGAGUAACACGUGGGUAAUCUACCUCUUAGUGGGGAAUAACCCUGGGAAACCGGGGCUAAUACCGCAUAAGCCUGAGAAGGGAAAGCAGCAAUGCGCUGAGAGAGGAGCCCGCGGCCGAUUAGCUAGUUGGUAGGGUAAAGGCCUACCAAGGCAGAGAUCGGUAGCCGGCCUGAGAGGGCACACGGCCACACUGGCACUGAAACACGGGCCAGACUCCUACGGGAGGCAGCAGUGGGGAAUCUUGCACAAUGGGGGCAACCCUGAUGCAGCGACGCCGCGUGAGCGAUGAAGCCCUUCGGGGUGUAAAGCUCUUUCGUCAGGGAAGAUUAUGACGGUACCUGGAGAAGCAGCUGCGGCUAACUACGUGCCAGCAGCCGCGGUAAUACGUAGGCAGCGAGCGUUGUUCGGAGUUACUGGGCGUAAAGGGUGUGUAGGCGGUUCUUUAAGUUUGGUGUGAAAUCUCCCGGCUCAACCGGGAGGGUGCGCCGAAUACUGAGGGACUAGAGUGCGGGAGAGGAAAGUGGAAUUCCUGGUGUAGCGGUGAAAUGCGUAGAUAUCAGGAGGAACACCGGUGGUGUAGACGGCUUUCUGGACCGUAACUGAGCUGAGACACGAAAGCGUGGGUAGCAAACAGGAUUAGAUACCCUAGUAGUCC
rnacentral:rRNA from 1 species